AUUGAACGCUGGCGGCAUGCCUUACACAUGCAAGUCGAGCGGUAAGGCCUUUCGGGGUACACGAGCGGCGAACGGGUGAGUAACACGUGGGUGACCUGCCCUCAGCUCUGGGAUAAGCCUGGGAAACCGGGUCUAAUACCGGAUAUGACUCCAUGACGCAUGUUGUGGGGUGGAAAGCCUUGUGCGGCUGAGGAUGGGCCCGCGGCCUAUCAGCUUGUUGGUGGGGNGAUGGCCUACCAAGGCGACGACGGGUAGCCGGCCUGAGAGGGCGACCGGCCACACUGGGACUGAGACACGGCCCAGACUCCUACGGGAGGCAGCAGUGGGGAAUCUUGCGCAAUGGGCGAAAGCCUGACGCAGCGACGCCGCGUGAGGGAUGACGGCCUGGU
rnacentral:rRNA from 1 species